rnacentral:rRNA from 1 species
CCUACGGGAGGCAGCAGUGAGGAAUAUUGGUCAAGGGGCGCGAGCCUGAACCAGCCAAGUCGCGUGAGGGAUGACGGUCCUACGGAUUGUAAACCUCUUUUGCCGGGGAGCAAGCGUGCGUUCGUGAACGCGCGUCGAGAGGACCCGGAGAAAAAGCAUCGGCUAACUCCGUGCCAGCAGCCGCGGUAAUACGGAGGAUGCGAGCGUUAUCCGGAUUGAUUGGGUUGAAAGGGUGCGUAGGCGGGAUGCCAAGUCAGCGGGAAAAAUGCGGUGCGCAACGCCGUCGAGCCGUUGAAACUUGCGUUCUUGAGUGGGCGAGAUGUAUGCGGAAUGCGUGGUGUAGCGGU